rnacentral:rRNA from 1 species
GGCUCAGGAUGAACGCUAGCUACAGGCUUAACACAUGCAAGUCGAGGGCAUCAUGAGAGUUGCUUGCAACUUUGAUGGCGACCGGCGCACGGGUGCGUAACGCGUAUCGAACCUACCCUAUACACGGGGAUAGCCUUGCGAAAGCAAGAUUAGUACCCGACGUUUUGUCAUUGCUGCAUGGUAUUGGCAAUAAAGAUUUAUCGGUAUAGGAUGGCGAUGCGUCCCAUUAGUAGUUGGCGGGGUAACGGCCCACCAAGACAUCGAUGGGUAGGGGUUCUGAGAGGAAGGUCCCCCACACUGGAACUGAGACACGGUCCAGACUCCUACGGGAGGCAGCAGUGAGGAAUAUUGGUCAAUGGGCGAGAGCCUGAACCAGCCAAGUAGCGUGCCAGGAAGACUGCCCUAUGGGUUGUAAACUGCUUUUAUAGGGGAAUAAAGUGCGGCACGUGUGCUGUUUUGUAUGUACCCUAUGAAUAAGGACCGGCUAAUUCCGUGCCAGCAGCGGC